rnacentral:tRNA from 1 species
CAUGGAGCCGUGCCUGAAGUAUAGGACCACUUUGAUAGAGUGAAAAAUGGAGGUUAAAGUCCUCCCGCCUCC